GAUGAACGCUGGCGGCGUGCCUAAUACAUGCAAGUCGAGCGAACGGACGAGAAGCUUGCUUCUCUGAUGUUAGCGGCGGACGGGUGAGUAACACGUGGAUAACCUACCUAUAAGACUGGGAUAACUUCGGGAAACCGGAGCUAAUACCGGAUGAUAUUUUGAACCGCAUGGUUCAAAAGUGAAAGACGGUCUUGCUGUCACUUAUAGAUGGAUCCGCGCUGCAUUAGCUAGUUGGUAAGGUAACGGCUUACCAAGGCAACGAUGCAUAGCCGACCUGAGAGGGGGAGGGCCAAAACGGGAACGGGGCAGGGCACAAGCCCCGUAGGGGAGGAACGAGAGGGGAAUGUUGCGCAAGGGGGGAAGGCGGGACGGGGCACCGCGGGGGGAGGAAGAAGGGUUUCGGAUUCGAAAACUUGGUUGUUGGGGAAAAAAAAUAGGUGGAGUGAAAUGUGCACAUUGUGACGGUAUCUAAUCAGAAAGCCACGGCUAACUACGGG
rnacentral:rRNA from 1 species